AUGACUAUACCAGGAGGAUUUCGCAGCUGUACAGAAACGGAUGCAUCUUCAAAAAUAUUUAUCAAUUCUACACUCUCCCCACCGGCCGGCUCAGAGAGGCACUACGAUGCUACCUUAUUGACAUUGCUGGUUCUGGGAUCCUACAGCCUUUGUGUAGUUCCUUUGUUAGCCACGUUUACUGGCAAAAGAACUGGUAAUGCCGCUGUCAUCAAAUAUGAGGAAAAACCUCCAAAACCAGCAUUUCAGAAUGGCUCCUCAGCAUCCUUAUAUUUGAAGCCCUUUGUACCCAGAGGUCAUGCGCACUUUCUGAAAACUCCUCCAAAAGAUCCUUCAAGAAAAAGUCUAUUUACAGCCUUGAAUACAGUUGAGAAGGGCAGACAGAAGAGUCCCCGAAGUCUGUGCAUCCAGACCCAGACAUCCCCAGAUGUGCUGUCCUCUGAGAAAGCACUUGAGUUGGCUCAAUAUAAAAGCAAAUGUACGAAGCAAAGUGGAGUUAUCCUGCAGCUCAAGCAGCUUCUUUCCCUGGGCAACACCAAGUUUGAGGCAUUAACAGUUGUGGCUCAGCACCUGCUGUCUCAGCGAGAGGAAGCACUGAAACAAAACAAAACCCUAUCUCAAGAACUUGUCAACCUCCGGGGAGAGCUAGUCACUGUUUCAACCACCUGUGAGAAGUUAGAAAAAGCCAGGAAUGAGUUGCAAAUAGCUUAUGAAGGAUUUGUCCAGAAGUUAAACCAGCAGCACCAGACUGAUCUAACAGAGCUGGAGAAUCGGCUUAAAGAAUUUUACACUGGGGAAUGUGAAAAGCUUCAGAACAUCUACAUAGAAGAAGCAGAGAAAUACAAAACUCAAUUGCAGGAGCAGUUUGACAACUUAAAUGCUACCCACGAAACCUCUAAGUUGAAAAUCGAAGCAAGCCACUCCGAGAAAAUAGAAUUGCUAAAGAAGUCCUAUGAAAAUUCCCUUUCAGAAAUCAAGAAAAGCCAUGAAAUGGAAAAGAAAUCCCUCGAGGAUCUGCUUUACGAGAAGCAGGAAUCACUAGAGAAACAAAUCAGUGAUCUGAAGAGUGAAAAUGAUGCUUUAAAUGAAAAGUUGAAAUCAGAAGAACAGAAAAGAGUAUCAAGAGAGAAAGCAAAUUUAAAAAACCCUCAGAUCAUGUAUCUGGAGCAAGAGUUAGAAAGCCUGAAAGCCGUGUUAGAGAUCAAGAAUGAGAAGCUGCGCCAACAGGACGUCAAGUUAAUGAAGAUGGAGAAACUGGUGGACAAUAACACAGCGCUGGUAGACAAACUGAAGCGAUUCCAGCAGGAGAAUGAAGAACUAAAAGCUCGGAUGGACAAGCACAUGGCAAUUUCAAGGCAACUUUCCACGGAGCAAGCGGUCCUGCAGGAGUCGCUGGAGAAGGAGUCCAAGGUCAACAAGCGCCUCUCCAUGGAGAACGAGGAGCUGCUCUGGAAGCUCCACAAUGGGAACCUGUGCAGCCCCAAGAGGUCCCCCACGUCCCCCGCCGCCCCCUUCCAGUCGCCUCGGAACUCCGGCUCCUUCCCCAGCCCCAGUGUCUCACCCAGA
rnacentral:lncRNA from 1 species